CCUACGGGUGGCUGCAGUGGGGAAUAUUGCACAAUGGGGGAAACCCUGAUGCAGCGACGCCGCGUGGGUGAAGAAGUAUUUCGGUAUGUAAAGCCCUAUCAGCAGGGAAGAAAAUGACGGUACCUGACCAAGAAGCCCCGGCUAACUACGUGCCAGCAGCCGCGGUAAUACGUAGGGGGCAAGCGUUAUCCGGAUUUACUGGGUGUAAAGGGAGCGUAGACGGUUUUGGAAGUCUGGAGUGAAAGGCCGGGGCCCAACCCCGGGACUGCUUUGGAAACUGGGUUACUGGAGUGCAGGAGGGGCAGGCGGAAUUCCUGGUGUAGCGGUGAAAUGCGUAGAUAUUAGGAGGAACACCGGUGGCGAAGGCGGCCUGCUGGACGGAAACUGACGUUGAGGCUCGAAAGCGUGGGGAGCAAACAGGAUUAGAUACCCCGGUAGUC
rnacentral:rRNA from 1 species